UACGUAGGUGGCAAGCGUUGUCCGGAUUUACUGGGCGUAAAGAGCGCGCAGGCGGUUGUUUAAGUCGAAUGUGAAAGCCCCCGGCUCCAACUGGGGAGGGUCAUUCGAUACUGAUCGACUUGAAGGCAGGAGAGGGAAGUGGAAUUCCGGGUGUAGUGGUGAAAUGCGUAGAUAUCCGGAGGAACACCAGUGGCGAAGGCGACUUCCUGGCCUGUUCUUGACGCUGAGGCGCGAAAGCUGGGGGAGCAAACGGGG
rnacentral:rRNA from 1 species